UUUAUGGAGAGUUUGAUCCUGGCUCAGGAUGAACGCUGGCGGCGUGCCUAAUACAUGCAAGUCGAGCGAACGGACGAGAAGCUUGCUUCUCUGAUGUU
rnacentral:rRNA from 2 species